rnacentral:tRNA from 1 species
GGCUCCGUAGCUCAGCGGUUAGAGCGCGCCACUCAUAAUGGCGAGGUCCCUGGUUCAAAUCCAGGCGGAGCUA